CUGUGAGCUGAAAGCGGCUGAAAGGACGAACCAGAAGGAGGAUAUUACGCCGCAAACGAACACAUACAAAAAGUAUGCGAGAGCGAGCGAAUUGUCCAGCAGACUUUGAUAAUUUCACUGGUCGGCAUACUUUUUUGUUUUGGCGCGCUGCAUGUUAGCCCCAAGUCCUGAGACUAAGUGAAUGUGAAAUGUGACAAGCCAAGUGACAGUUACGAAAAGUUGAAUCAAAAACGAAACAACGCCGAGCAGAUGAAACCAGUUGCGGAAGCAGAUGCUCGAGGAGGCCCCAGGAGACAUUUAACAUAAUAAAAAUGAACGUGUGCGGCAUUUUGGCGUUGCCUGUGCCAAGUUAACAGCAUUUCGACGCGUGUGUGUACGGGUUUGUUUAAUGCUAAUACUGCAGACACACACACCCAAGCCUGCGAACAAACAAUAUUGCCAAUGUGCGCGACGAGCAGUGGCAAAAGUGUCGUAAAUCGUUUAGACGGCACAACGUGGAGCUCCGCAAAAGGGAAGAGUGCCAAGCGAUAUGUAAACGACACAGUCGCCGUGGGAAAAACUCCAUAAACGCACGAGCACAACGAAAAAAUACCCAAGCAAAUGGAAGAAUAAACCAGAGUUGGCCAAAUACCCCCACGAAAAACUGCAUUUGUUGCUUAUAUGUGGACAUGAAGACCUCAAGGAAUUCAAACGAUUUGUUAAGAAAGCUGGAUGAUAAUUUUUAAAAGUUCUUCCCAGAAGAUUAUGCUCCCAGUCAAGACUG